AUUGUUGCCUGAGUUUUGGGAGCACAGUGAUAGCUGGAAGGAACCUCUGAUCCUUGCUUUCCUGCCCCAAACAGAAGAAUAUGAAUGAUAACAUGCGCCAGUAAAUCUGAAACAAGUCUUCAGUCUUGCUGAAGUGGAGUUACGCUGGUGGUUUUGCAAGAGUGGAGAUUUCCAAAUAUUCCGCCAAUAUAUGUACAACUACAAGGUGACAUCACUGCAAAGAAGUGACAGAACAAGAGGCGGUGGGCACAAACUGAAAUACUUAAGAAAAAUAUUUUUACUGUGAUGGUGGUCAAACUCUGGAACAGGUGGAGGUGCCCAGAGACCUUGUG
rnacentral:lncRNA from 1 species